UAAAAUAAAUUAACAUAAUCAAAUGGAUUAGGAAGGGAUAUUUACCGGACGAUUCCGGCGCGGUGGCUCUGGGUAACCUGCUCCUUUCUUCUUUGUGCCUUCGAUUUCGCUUCUGUUACAUCGUGAUGUUGAAUUUAGCUCUUCAAUUUUGUUGCUAUGCGUUUCCGAAUCGUGGCGUGUGAUGGUGAAUUGAAGAGCUUUUGCGUAUUGUUGAUUUUUGUGGUGAGGAUGUAUGGUGAGGAGUGAAGAUCGUUGAAGUUUUGUUUGAAAUGGUUCCGGUGAAUGAAGUGUUGAUGAAGGUGAAGCCUUCUCCAAGUUGCAGUGAGUUUCUCUUUGCCAGAUUUUUCUGUUAGAAAUUCUCUCCUCCAAUUCUGUUUCGGUUAGAAGUACAAUGGCUCUGUUCAGAUUUUCUUCUUGAGAAGUUUUGUUGCAAGCUUCUGUUAUGAGAAGUUCAUGUGAGAAUACGAUUCAAGAUUCUGUUAUAGGUUUUUUUGUUGUGAAGUUUGUUGAAAUUUAUGUUGAAGGUUUCAAAGCAGUUGGUUAGAGGUUGUUGAAAGGUGUGGAGAUGAGGGUUGAACCAUGAUUCCAAGAAGACCUUGAAUGAUGAGUGAAGAGGGUGAUUUAUAGGGCUAAUGAUUCUAAACAGAGACUCACUCUCCUCUGUUCUGAAUGUGCAAGUUGAAUUCAAUUUGGACUCUUUGAUCAUGGAGCUACUUGGAAUAUGCUUGUUUGGAACAAUGGCUUGGUGAUGCUAUGGGAUUAUGGUUUGACUUGGCUUAGGGACAAUGUUGCAAUCUUGUUGUAAAUUUUGUAGUUUGAACUUGAAUGUAAUGUUUAUGGUUGUAAUGAAAUAAUAGAAAUUGUAUGUGAUUGGAAUUGAUAUAAUGGAAAUGUAAAUGUAUUUGAAAAUUGAAUAAAUGGAAUUUUGUACUUGUAUGGAAUUA